rnacentral:rRNA from 1 species
UACGGAGGGGGCGAGCGUUAUUCGGAAUUAUUGGGCGUAAAGGGCGCGUAGGCGGCUUGGUAAGUCAAAGGUGAAAUCCCUCGGCUCAACUGAGGAAUUGCCUUUGAAACUGCCUGGGCUCGAGGCCGGGAGGGGGUAGCGGAAUUCCCAGUGUAGCGGGUGAAAUGCGUAGAUAUUUGGGAGGAACACCGGUGGCGAAGGCGGCUACCUGGACCGGUCUGACGCUGAUGCGCG